CCUUCCUCUUUUUGAUAUCUUUUUAUUUUACAUCAGGAGAGGAGGAGAGAGGAAAGGGGAAUCGUAUACUAUGCUACUGAGGUUUGAUCUCCGCAGGCCUCUAUUGUAUGGCGUCUAUCCUUUCAUUUGAGGUCGUGCGAUGGAUUGAGAACGAGGCAAGGGUAUUCUUGAGGAUUAAAGCUUUCUUGAAAAUAAGAUUCUAUUCCUGGUACUAGCGGCAUCCAGCAGAGAGCCGAGGAGUUAUUUGCAGACUUCAUGUGAGCUAUCUUUCUUGACCAACCCUUAGACCCUCGGAGUCACCUUCUAUCCUUAUUAAAUAUAAAUGUGAUGGAUUUGUACGACAAUGUCGUGUAUAUUGAAUUCUAGUAUCAUCAUAUAUGACCUUUUUUUGGUA